CCUACGGGAUGCCGCAGUGAGGAAUAUUGGUCAAUGGACGAGAGUCUGAACCAGCCAAGUAGCGUGAAGGAUGACUGCCCUAUGGGUUGUAAACUUCUUUUAUAUGGGAAUAAAAUGUUCCACGUGUGGGAUUUUGUAUGUACCCUAUGAUUAAGGAUCGGCUACCUCCGUGCCAGCAGCCGCGGUAAUACGGAGGAUCCGAGCUUUAGCCGGAUUUAUUGGGUUUAAAGGGAUCGUAGGUGGAUUGUUAAGUCAGUUGGGAAAGUUGGCGGCUCAACCGUAAAAGUGCAGUUGAGACUGGCAGUCUUGAGUACAGUAGAGGUGGGCGGAAUUCGUGGUGUAGCGGUGAAAUGCUGAGAUAGCACGAAGAACUCCGAUUGCGAAGGCAGCUCACGGGACUGCAACUGACACUGAGGCACGAAAGUGUGGGUAUCAAACAGGAUUAGAUACCCGGGUAGUC
rnacentral:rRNA from 1 species